rnacentral:rRNA from 1 species
CUGGGCGUAAAGCGCAUGCAGGUGGUUUGUUAAGUCAGAUGUGAAAGCCCUGGGCUCAACCUAGGAAUCGCAUUUGAAACUGACAAGCUAGAGUACUGUAGAGGGGGGUAGAAUUUCAGGUGUAGCGGUGAAAUGCGUAGAGAUCUGAAGGAAUACCGGUGGCGAAGGCGGCCCCCUGGACAGAUACUGACACUCAGAUGCGAAAGCGUGGGGAGCAAACAGGAUUAGAUACCCUGGUAGUCCACGCCGUAAACGAUGUCUACUUGGAGGUUGUGCCCUAGAGGCGUGGCUUUCGGAGCUAACGCGUUAAGUAGACCGCCUGGGGAGUACGGUCGCAAGAUUAAAACUCAAAUGAAUUGACGGGGGCCCGCACAAGCGGUGGAGCAUGUGGUUUAAUUCGAUGCAACGCGAAGAACCUUACCUACUCUUGACAUCCAGAGAAUCUAGCGGAGACGCUGGAGUGCCUUCGGGAGCUC